rnacentral:ncRNA from 1 species
CGAGCCCAGGUAAGGCAGGACUACCCGUUGAGUUUAAGCAUAUAAAUAAGCGGAGGAGAAGAAACUUACAAGGAUACCCCUAGUAACGGCGAGCGAACCGGG